AUUGAACGCUGGCGGCAGGCCUAACACAUGCAAGUCGAACGGUAACAGGAAGAAGCUUGCUUCUUUGCUGACGAGUGGCGGACGGGUGAGUAAUGUCUGGGAAACUGCCUGAUGGAGGGGGAUAACUACUGGAAACGGUAGCUAAUACCGCAUAACGUCGCAAGACCAAAGAGGGGGACCUUCGGGCCUCUUGCCAUCGGAUGUGCCCAGAUGGGAUUAGCUAGUAGGUGGGGUAACGGCUCACCUAGGCGACGAUCCCUAGCUGGUCUGAGAGGAUGACCAGCCACACUGGAACUGAGACACGGUCCAGACUCCUACGGGAGGCAGCAGUGGGGAAUAUUGCACAAUGGGCGCAAGCCUGAUGCAGCCAUGCCGCGUGUAUGAAGAAGGCCCUCGGGUUGUAAAGUACUUUCAGCGGGGAGGAAGGGAGUAAAGUUAAUACCUGUGCUCAUUGACGUUACCCGCAGAAGAAGCACCGGCUAACUCCGU
rnacentral:rRNA from 1 species